UAGUUGUGCCUUGUGGAGACGGCAACAUUCUUGUCAAAGACCUUAUCCGAGAGGCCAUCCUUCGAUACAAGAAAGCCACAGGAAAGGUAUGUAUUUAAAAAGUAUUUCAAAAGAAGCUUACCAAUGAGUGAAAUUCAUAAAAAAACUUCCCGUUUAUUACUGAUGUGAAUAAAGGAUAAUUUCACGUCUCAUAUGUACAUACUAAAUAUCUUCCAGAAGCUACAGAUGGCCUCACUGAAUCGCUGAUAAUCAACAUUUAUAAUUUAGUAGUUUUUGAGAAAAUCACGAGAAAACUCGCAUUCGAUGAUGGGAAGGAAAGCAGUUACAAGACAUCAGAAAUUUAAUUUAAUAUUAUACGUAAUUGUUUUCUAAAGAAAUUUGUCAUAACUAUUGUCUAUCUAAUCCUGAAAAAUAUAAGUUAUUACAGACGAAACAGUUGUAAAGUUUAUUAAAAAAGACUAUAAAACAA